UUGGUCUUGAAAUCCUUACUUUUGGAUUUGAUGUUUUGAACUCGAAUAAUUACACCUAAUUAUUACUCAUUAUAGUUGGUUAACGUUUUCACGAAUUGGUUUUAAACCUUUUCAUGAAUAAGUAUGCACGUUUUACUUUGCGUUGAACUUUGUUACUGCCAAAUAUUGUUAGUUUUCAUCUACAUUAUAAUAAUAUAGUUGUAUUUUAACCAUUAGUGCUAGUAUUUUAUGUAAUUAAUUUUUAAUACUCCAUGUAAUUCAGUUGCCAACUGCAAAAGGGACUU